rnacentral:lncRNA from 1 species
UUUGAUCCGUGGAGUAAAUGUACUCCACCCUAUGUCACUUGGUAUCAAUGUUUAAGCACCUACUUAAAACCUACUAUGUUAUUUUGCUUUAUAUUGUGUUUGUAUAAUUAGCAACAAAAACACUUCAUUGCUAAUCUAUUUUGCUUGUGAAUUUGCAUUCGACUUGAUCCUAUCAUGUUCGUUUAUUCAAGUGGUAGUUUGUUUAUGAUAGAGUAAAAAAAUAAGAAAAUCACAAAAUCCAAG